rnacentral:tRNA from 1 species
GGCGACGUGGCCGAGUGGUUAGGCAGAGGCCUGCAAAGCCUUGCACAGGGGUUCGAUUCCCCUCGUCGCCUCAA